CCUACGGGUGGCAGCAGUGGGGAAUAUUGCGCAAUGGGCGAAAGCCUGACGCAGCGACGCCGCGUGAGGGAUGAAGGUCUUCGGAUCGUAAACCUCUGUCAGCAGGGAAGAACGGUCACUGUGCUAAUCAGCAGUGAAUUGACGGUACCUGCAAAGGAAGCACCGGCUAACUCCGUGCCAGCAGCCGCGGUAAUACGGAGGGUGCGAGCGUUAAUCGGAAUUACUGGGCGUAAAGCGCUCGUAGGCGGUAUGUCAAGUCAAGGGUGAAAGCCCCGCGCUCAACGUGGGAACUGCCUUUGAUACUGGCAAACUGGAGUGUGUGAGAGGAUAAUGGAAUUCCAGGUGUAGGAGUGAAAUCCGUAGAUAUCUGGAGGAACAUCAGUGGCGAAGGCGACUAUCUGGCACAUAACUGACGCUGAGGAGCGAAAGCGUGGGUAGCAAACAGGAUUAGAUACCCGAGUAGUC
rnacentral:rRNA from 1 species